AAUGUAAGACGUCUGUCUCCUUUGUGAUAGGUUCUCACGGUGAAGAGAUUCCUGGGCGCCCCCUGCUGGAGACGUGCAUACUUUUAGCCCUUCAAUUGCCACUGCGUUUUGGCUCAAAAGCAAAAACAAAUUGGAGAUACGUUUGACCAUAUGAUCAGCUGCCGAAACCAAGCUCUCGCGUUCUCCGUUGUCGUGCCGCAGCUGACGGCCUGCUUGAUGGAGUGCACCGAGAUGACAUUCGCCAGGAAGGUGCAGCUGCGGGACAAGCGGAAUAUACGGCCGCAAGACUCCACUGAAGGCCGGUCAUCUUGCCGGAGUUAGAUGAUAGAGAUCCUUAAAGUUCGACACUUGAUUUUCCCAAAUAAGGGCCUUCCUUCUCCACUGACAACAUUCAACCUGACUUGAAAAUGACACACUCCUGCAAUUCUGGAACCAUUGUGAUAGACACUGCUACUUGCAAACACUGUACAAAUGUGGCAUGUUUGUUUUUUUACAGAUUAUUAAAAAAAUAUGAACAA